GAUCCUGGCUCAGAUUGAACGCUGGCGGCAGGCCUAACACAUGCAAGUCGAACGGUAACAGGAAGCAGCUUGCUGCUUUGCUGACGAGUGGCGGACGGGUGAGUAAUGUCUGGGAAACUGCCUGAUGGAGGGGGAUAACUACUGGAAACGGUAGCUAAUACCGCAUAACGUCGCAAGACCAAAGAGGGGGGACCCUUCGGGCCUCUUGCCAUCGGAUGUGCCCAGAUGGGAUUAGCUAGUAGGG
rnacentral:rRNA from 1 species